rnacentral:lncRNA from 1 species
GCGGUAGAAGUUCGACUGAAAUUCGAAAGGCGAUCGACCACCAUAGAAACUUGGAUAGAGUCAGGUCACUGUAGAAGUCCUACUGCUGAAGAAGCUCGAUCAUCGACGAAGUCCGAAAGGAGUUCGGAGUAAAGUCGAUCGUGGCUGAGAGAAGUCUGAAAAAGAUUCGGAGAAUAGUCGAUCACUGUAGAGAAUCGGAUGAAAGUGAAGCUUAGAGAGCAUUUGGAGCAAUCCGGUAGAUGAAUAGAGGAGCCCAUUAUUGGAGAAGUCCGAAUGGUAUUAUGGAAGC